ensembl:lncRNA
GCAAAUUUGCUUGAAAUUUCAAGAGACUGAUUUAUUUAAAAUUUAAAACUAUGCCAAUGGGUUGGCCCCACCUCUUCUCUGUUUUUUCAUCCUUUUUCCUCUAAACAUUUCUUCUUUCCCACCUCUUUUUCUUUUACAUUAUUAUUCAAGUGUAUGAUUAAAAUAAUUUUCUGCCUAUUAAGAUACAGCUAACUCAAAUCAGGAAGAUUCGAGUAGUUCUUAGGCAGUGGUGGCCCACUCUCCUGUAUUUUACCUUGGUCACUAACAAUACCUGCUUGUGGGACAACUGGAGGUGUGGGGGCAGUGUAGCAGUGCUCACUGUCCUAUGGAGAUCAGUUCCAUGAUGUUGGACUCUGAGCCCUAACCGUCUGCUCUUUCAGAUUCCAUCUACCUUUGUCCUCCUCCAGCGUAAGUACAACCCCUGCUUCCCUCAGGAGCACUUUGAGUUGUAGGGUAUUCUCUCUGCCCAUGUGGAGUCUGGAAAAUUUAGUUACACAGAGGAAUGUCACCCAAUGAAAAGAGUUUGGACUCGCUCCAGUAAGCACAAUCUGUGAAAAACAUUAAGGCAUGUGUUUACUCUUCACCUAGAAUGGACUCUUGAGGGCUGAGGACUCUAGCUUACUAUUUUCUCAUGGCUGCAUAGCACAUGAUCUAUUUUAAUUGCCCAGUAAAUCUCUUCUGAUUACUUAACAAAUAUUUACCGGUAGCAAUGAAUAAAAACUAAGAAGUGAGGCUGGGUAUUUCAGUGUUCAGGUGGAUAUAUUCUGCAAGAACAAACUUUUCCACCUUCCUUUCUAAACUGAGGUUUGUCUUGCACUUCAAUCUUAGGUCCUAAAUUGGAGCUAGCAACUGUGGGUUAAAGGAGGAAAUAAUCACUGAAAAGAAACAAGGUUAGAGAUGGGAGCUAUGUGUACCUCAGGCUGUUUCAUAACAUGUGUUUUGUGAGGACAUAAUAUUUAGAUGAUCUUGGCUCAUACUCAUUCUGCAGAGCAAGUAGUGACUCCCUGGAAGAAGGGGCAAAUCUGGGAACCUGGGCUCAGCACCACUUAUACUCAGAAACCUGCUGCCACUUCCAGGCCAGCGGAACAUGCUGAAAUCUAACCCUAGUUAUGGGUCUAAUGGCAAUAGGGUGUGUUCGGGUUGAGUAAGCUACUUUUUUUUUUACUGAGUUUUCCAGGCUGCUGCAUAAAAUUCCCUCUCCAGCCCUACUUUGGAGUGGUUGGGAACCAGAGUCUUAAUCUAUCUCUUUGGAGCUGCUUCAAGUGGAAGAGGGGCAUGACCAGUUUCAGCAAACCUGGCACUUGGGCUGCAUCAGUGAAGAAAACAAAGAUCCCUGUGUUGGAGGAGGUCAUCCAGAGGACGUGACUACUGGUUGACCCAAUAGUGAGACCAGGGCAGUCAGAGGCUCCGUACUUCUCCACUGUCCUUGGAAGGUAUGUUUGGCCCACCGUUCACAAAGCCGGAGCCAUUUCAAGGACACAACCUUAAAAAAGUAAUGUGUUGUUGAGACCAUCUGGACAGUAUAUGUGGCUGAACCCUAUUAGGGCCUCUAUAUAAACUUUUAAGAUCUUGGUGCGUGAGUGCAGAGAUCUGCUCGCCUUGCGGCUGCCCAAGACGAGCCUUGAGAGUAAGUUCCCUUGCUUAUUAAAACUGCUACCAAUCUGGAAUGCUCUGCUUUUUUCUUCUGCCUCUCCUUGCACUCUGUGUAAGGGGCCAGUUUCAAAUAACACCAGGGAAUUCCGAAGUUGCAAAGCAAUACUCUGCCCUCAGUAAACAAAUUUAAUAGGGGAAGACAGUAAAAAAUAAACAUAAGUGAAUCAUAUUGGAAUGUGGUAAAUGUGAUGAAAAAAAAGUAGAGCAGGGUAAAGUGGACAGGACCUUUUGGGAGGAGGAGGAUGUUACAAUUUAAAGAGAGCAAUCAGGG